AUGGCCCGGUUUGUUCACAAAUGCAGGGAAAAUGCAAAGUCGUAGUGGUCCUUUCUUGCCAGCGCGUUAACACUGAGGCUAGCACGGCCAAACAAGGGAGCGACUGCGCAGUGCUGCCAUUUUUCCUGUAUCCUUGUCUGUGUUUAUCUGCG
rnacentral:lncRNA from 1 species